rnacentral:rRNA from 1 species
AGAGUUUGAUCAUGGCUCAGAACGUACGCUGGCGGCACGCCUAACACAUGCAAGUCGAACGAAGUAGCAAUACUUAGUGGCAGACGGGUGAGUAACAUGUAGGUAUCUACCCUUUGGCCAGGAAUAACACGAGGAAACUUGUGCUAAUACCUGAUAAGUCUUUACGGAGAAAGCUUUAUGCACCAUUGGAUGAGCCUGCACUUGAUUAGUUAGUUGGUGGGGUAAAGGCCUACCAAGACUUUGAUCAAUAGCUGAUUUGAGAGGAUGAUCAGCCACAUUGGGACUGAGACACGGCCCAAACUCCUACGGGAGGCAGCAGUGGGGAAUCUUGCACAAUGGAGGAAACUCUGAUGCAGCGAUGCCGCGUGAGUGAAGAAGGCCUUUGGGUUGUAAAGCUCUUUCGUCGGGGAAGAAAAUGACUGUACCCGAAUAAGAAGGUCCGGCUAACUUCGUGCCAGCAGCCGCGGUAAUACGAAGGGACCUAGCGUAGUUCGGAAUUACUGGGCUUAAAGAGUUCGUAGGUGGUUGAAAAAGUUGGUGGUGAAAUCCCAGAGCUUAACUCUGGAACUGCCAUCAAAACUUUUCAGCUAGAGUUUGAUAGAGGAAAGCAGAAUUUCUAGUGUAGAGGUGAAAUUCGUAGAUAUUAGAAAGAAUACCAAUUGCGAAGGCAGCUUUCUGGAUCAUUACUGACACUGAGGAACGAAAGCAUGGGUAGCGAAGAGGAUUAGAUACCCUCGUAGUCCAUGCCGUAAACGAUGUGUGUUAGACGUUGGAAAUUUAUUUUCAGUGUCGCAGCGAAAGCGAUAAACACACCGCCUGGGGAGUACGACCGCAAGGUUAAAACUCAAAUGAAUUGACGGGGACCCGCACAAGUAGUGGAGCAUGUGGUUUAAUUCGAAGAUACGCGCAGAACCUUACCAACACUUGACAUGUUCGUCGCGACUUUAAGAGAUUAAAGUUUUCGGUUCGGCCGGACGAAACACAGGUGCUGCAUGGCUGUCGUCAGCUCGUGUCGUGAGAUGUUGG